AAAACAUCGCCUCUUGAUAGCUAUAAGAGGUCCAGCCUGCCCAGUGAUAAAUUCAACGGCCGCGGUAUCCUAACCGUGCGAAGGUAGCAUAAUCACUUGUUCUUUAAAUAGGGACUCGUAUCAACGGCAUCACGAGGGUUACACUGUCUCCUCUUUCCAAUCAGUGAAACUGAUCUUCCCGUGAAGAAGCGGGAAUGAACUAAUAAGACGAGAAGACCCCAUGGAGCUUUAAACCUCACAGCAACUCUAACAUAUAUUUCCCCAUAACCCGCAGAGCAAUGCUAGUCGGUUUUAGGUUGGGGUGACCGCGGAGCAAAAACUACCCUCCACGACGAACAGAACUAAAUCUUUAUCCAAGAGCAACCACUCUAAGAACUAGCACACUAACGUAUCAUGACCCGAUAAUCGAUCAACGGACCAAGUUACCCUGGGGAUAACAGCGCAAUCUGCUUCAAGAGCCCAUAUCGACAAGCAGGCUUACGACCUCGAUGUUGGAUCAGGGUACCCCAGUGGUGCAGCCGCUACUAACGGUUCGUUUGUUCAACGAUUAAAACCCUACGUGAUCUGA
rnacentral:rRNA from 1 species